rnacentral:pre_miRNA from 1 species
GUUGUUGUUGUAUCUAGUUCGCUUGGUGCAGGUCGGGAACGCUUCGCACUGCGUUUUGUAAUCGGUGAGCACGCGAAUCGGAUCCCGCCUUGCAUCAACUGAAUCGGAUACGGCAGUGAAG